AUGAGGAGUUGGUUAUUUCUGAACUGUACGGGUGGCAAAGAGCAAAUUUUAUUUUACCGGACUAGUGAUUUUGUUGCUUCUAAAUGUACUGUUAAAAGACUGGGUUAGAAAUAAAAACUAGUCGGUGGCAAAGGAUUGGAUUAGGUUAGCAAUUGCCAACACAAUAUAGUUACGAUGCAUGAAUUAUUUAACAAAAUGAAGUAGCAAACCUAGGAUUUCUGCUUCAGAUUCUCUUACUUCACGCUAAGGAAAGCCCAAAGGAGGGGGUGUCAUGCAGGAGCCUUUACUGAGGUUAUCUUGUCUUUUAGCAGCUGCUAGUUGUUUCAAGUCUUUUCCCAGUUCUUUUAGCUUCCUCCUAAUGCACCAGUGUCCCUCUCUAAAUUAGCAGCUGUGGGAUGAGCUGUGCCUAAUGGAAGCCAUAUGUAGGAAUUAACUGAUUGGAUAAGAAGUCAGGUUCCUUCCCCCCUCCCCCAGUACAUGCAGGGGAGAGGAAGCUACUGCUAUGACCCUAUUCUACCUCUUUCAAGAUCAGCAGAUUCUUUACCGUAAAGGCUUGUCUGCACAUUAUCAAGACCCAUGUCAGAUGGGGAACUGAGGCACACGGGCUAAGUGACCUAUUCAAAGUCCAUGGCAGAGCAGAGAUUUGAGCCCAGGACUCCCAAGUGCUAGGCUAGUACACUAACCACUGAAUUUUAAAUUUGGGUUUCACAAGAAUUUUCAACUACUCUUGGUAAGUCUUAUCUAGUCAUGUAACUGAGACAAUCCCACAUUGCCAGGUGCAGCUAAGCAAAACUGCUUUGAUUUUGGAGAUCUAACCACAAGACACAAGGAAAACCGAACUAACAAAUGUUUUCUACUGACCUGCAAGGACAAAUAAAUGCGGAAAUUGUAGACUGUUCAGAAAUUCUUCAAUCAGCAACAGAGAUCAAACUUGCUGAAUAAAUUAUUGGUUCCUAAUUAUAUUCUUGGUUCUAGAAAUCUGAUUGGCCUUGAGAAAGAGGGGUCGAGGUUUAAUACUGAAAGCCCCACAUCCAUAAUGUAGACUAGUAUAUUGGAGUAGAAGGAAAUUUCUAUUUCAGCCCAAUUCAGCCUUUCUUUGAACAAAGAGAGACCAUACUAACCAGGUCCUUGAAGAAAAUGACACAACCCUUAGCUCACCUCAGUGGGUACGUCUGUGCUGCCCCUGGGAUGGAGCCUCCUAGCCCUGCUAAAUAUACGCCCGGUAGCCAGGGCUCAAGCUACUGCGCUAAAAAUAGCACAGUGGAUCUUGCCACUCAGGUGGCAGCUCUGGCUCUCAAACCCACUUGCCCGUCUGGGUCUGAG